UACGUAGGGUGCGAGCGUUGUCCGGAAUUAUUGGGCGUAAAGAGCUCGUAGGCGGUGUGUCACGUCGGCCGUGAAAACCUGCAGCUUAACUGUGGGCGUGCGGUCGAUACGGGCAUCACUGGAGUUCGGCAGGGGAGACUGGAAUUCCUGGUGUAGCGGUGAAAUGCGCAGAUAUCAGGAGGAACACCGGUGGCGAAGGCGGGUCUCUGGGCCGAUACUGACGCUGGAGGAGCGAAAGCGUCGGGGAGCAAACAGG
rnacentral:rRNA from 1 species